UGGGGAAUUUUGGACAAUGGGGGAAACCCUGAUCCAGCCAUCCCGCGUGUGCGAUGAAGGCCUUCGGGUUGUAAAGCACCUUUGGCAGGAAAGAAACGUCAUGGGUUAAUACCCCGUGAAACUGACGGUACCUGCAGAAUAAGCACCGGCUAACUACGUGCCAGCAGCCGCGGUAAUACGUAGGGUGCAAGCGUUAAUCGGAAUUACUGGGCGUAAAGCGUGCGCAGGCGGUUCGGAAAGAAAGAUGUGAAAUCCCAGAGCUCAACUUUGGAACUGCAUUUUUAACUACCGGGCUAGAGUGUGGCAGGGGGAGGUGGAAUUCCGCGUGUAGCAGUGAAAUGCGUAGAUAUGCGGAGGAACACCGAUGGCGAAGGCAGCCUCCUGGGAUAACGCUGACGCUCAUGCGCGAAAGCGUGGAGAGCAAACAG
rnacentral:rRNA from 1 species